UGUUUUGUUUUGUUGUCGUCUGUAGAACCUUCACUGCUGAGAAAGGCAAAUGCUUAAGGCAGAAAGGACUAGCCAUUGUCUGGGGCGUCUGCUCCAGCUUUCUUUGUCCCAUACCUAAUUAAUCGGGAUGAAUUAGGUUCCCUCUCUCCUCCCGAUGUUCUUCAUUGACAAUAAAUUAGCCCGUGCUUUUUUUUUUCCAUUCACUCACGCUAAGUUCCUGGCAGACGUGCUCUUCGUCCUCGUUUGUCACUUUUAUUAUGGCGCUAGCUACGACGCGGAGUCGCAGACCCGUCAUCAAUCCUGCUGAGCUCUGAUGUCUCCCUGCAACUUCCUGCACCCCCGAAGAAAAUUCCUACACAAUUCACUCCUUCCUGGAAAACCCUGGGACUUCUGCUUGUCUACGGGUUUUCCCUGCUGGAAGUUAAGAUGCUUCCUAGUGCCGUUUGCCCCUUCUCAGAGCUCUUUGCCAAACAAAACCCCCUCCCUUCUUUGCUGAGGUGCCAGCUCCCAAAACACAGCGAUAAAGCAGAUUCAAGCAUCCCUUCUUGACACAAAAGCCACUCCAAGCCCAGAGCUCGGUUUCUCACACCCACGUUUCUCCAGCUGUGGCCCUCCAAAGGGUUAAAGCAACGGCACACUUGUGGAUGAAGACAACGGUGCAGGUGUGAGCGCACUAAUUGGGCAAGUGAGCAAUAAUGAAAGCAAGAACAGGGGAUGGUGGGAAGGGUUGGGUUUUGUUUUGCAGCAGACACAACAAUUGCAAGUGCCAAGCUCUGUGAACGGAGGUGAAACCACAAAGUUUAGGGGCUUGACGCUGCCCCACGAUCCUCACUGAGCCCAAGAAGAGCCGUGCCACCAGCGGGGCUGAUUCUACCCAUCCACGUUUGUUUGCCACAUCUCAAGAAGUACCUGGAGGGCAAACCUCCCAACCCAUCUCAGGUUCUGCUGGGCAGGUUCUUGGGGCCACGAGCCCCGGCCAAGCCUCCAGCUGAGAGCAGAGCCAGGCACCGGGGCUGCGAUGGAAGCGCACAGCUGCGGUUUUCAGCCAGCGCCCAGAAGAAAAAGAAGUUUGAAGUUUGGCUCAGGUUUCACAGUUCUGAGGAAACAAAGAUAAAUAUUAUUAAUGAUUAUGAGCAGGUAGGCAGAAAUACCAGCAGGGGAAGAUAAAAAUAAAAUCCCCAGCUACAGCUCAGUCCAAGUUCCUUCCCUGAUUUCCCUGCUGCCUGGCUCUAUUAAUGCAAGAACCACAAGGAGAGCAAUGUUGUUCAGCACACGCAGUGGUAGCCACCUCCGAGCUUCCAGCAAGCUACGGAAGAGGCAGGGAAAUGCAGAGAAAGACCUUACAAUACAGCUACACCCCAGACUGCAGUCCUAAGGCCACAGCUGGUCAACUUCAGGGCAGAAUCCCUUGGAAUCAGGGAGCACCCACUGCCCCGCACCGUGGAAAAGCCCAGCUGCUCCAUCUUGAGCUCAGGGUACGCUGCUUCACCAAAGAUUUAUUGGAAAGAGUCAACAUGCACGUUAGGAGAAGAGGUCCGGAAACCAUGACACGCAAGAAGAGCCUGAAUGACUUACUGCUGGGCUGAAAAAAAUCACACGACUUCCAGAAAGGGGGCUGGGGGCUAGUGGUGGGGCAGGUGGGGAGCACAAUUCCAAAUACCCCGAGGGCUGGCACAAAAAGGAAGAGGAGAAUAGGCACUUAGAAUAGUAGGUUUCUUAUCGCCAGCACAGGGAGCACUGGAUUUGCUCACCAACAGGUUCAGCAGAGCCUGCAGCAAAACCCUAAGCGGGAACCCAGGUGCCAAGGGACAGCCCGGGAUCUGAAAUCCUCCCCUGGGGAGCAUCUCCUCGAACCUGAUGACUGCAGAGGAAUUUAAGUUCCUCCAUCACGCAGAGGUGGCAAAUGUAGGUGCAGAGGUGAAAUCAGGGGAGUCACCAAGUCUGGAGAGGGGCUCUCCAUACGAAACCACUCUUUUUUCUUCUCAUCUAAGUAUUGAGGGAGUGGAGCAGACCCAGCACAGUAUUCAGUGCAGCUAACAGGGAGUGAAUCUCCGAGACUUUUAAAAUAGGAAUAGCAAAGAACUUGCGGUGAAAUUAAAAAUGUAAAUGUAUUUCUGAUACCAGUUUCAGAUUCCCUCCCCCCAGCCCGCUUCCUGAAAAUUAGUGUGUAAGCCUCUGCCACCAGAUUUCCAAGAUAGCUUCCUGUAAUAGGACUGGAGGCAUAUGCCAUCAGCACCUGAAUAUUACUUUGUUGUUAGGGCCCUGCCAUAUGUUUCCUAUUUAAAAAAAAUUACUUUAUAUCACAGGAAGCCACUUUUUCUUGCAACAAUAGCAGAGGUUCGUGUAACCGUUUCACCCAUAGAGGGGAAAAAUAAGGACUAACCACCAGCUAUAGCAGCUUUACCAAAGCAUUACCUUUUUGUUUUGAGUCCUCAUAUUCAACAAAUCUUAUGUUCUGAUUAAUUUAUUCAGUGAAAUGGUGCUACUGCAACAGCAGCCAGUGGAAAUUAAAAGACUUCAGGAUACGAACAACGUGUUGGAAUGGUGUCAGCUUCCUCGGUCCCCAUGCCUCCAAACACAACUCAGCUUUACACAGGGCCAGCAAGCUUGACAUCAGGCAAAGCGUUUGGCUCUUGGACAACGGGACACCUCUCCAGCAUGAAGACUGAGGGCACUCGACAUACAGCAUCUGAAAUUGUGCUAGAAAUACCUUCUGAUGCUACACAAAACCACAACACGGAGUAUCUGGAUUGGAACGCAGAUGGGAGCUUGCCAAGGAUACAUUUUUCAUUUGAAAAGGAAAGUCUCUUUCAAACAACAUUGUUUGCAGUGACAGCGAUUAUUUCCCCUCCCGAAAAACAUCCCGAGCACAUUUCGGGUUGACAGGCGCCGCGUCGCUCCACGCCUGAGGCAGGAGGCCAGGCAGCACCGUGGGAGAGGGAGCGAAGCGCCUCCCCUACAAAGGGGGAGCAAGAAGCAUUGGAAUUACACUUCCUGAUGUCUUAUUUCUGGAACCUAAAUCAUUUGGGUUUUCAACUACAAUAUUUAGUGUUUGAUUUCUAGCAGGAACAAAAAAAAAAAGUCUUCCUCAGAAGCUCUCCUGGAAAAGCUCCACAUACCCUUCCUCCUGUGCCAGCUGGCCAAGCACCCAGAAACAUGGCACUAGGCAGCACUUGCUUGGGGGUAUUUAUUUCCCUUCAGUACCGAGGUAGACAUUCGAUGUGUCUCUUGACAGAAACUGAAGGUGUAAAAAGAUUUAAGAAAGUGAAAACGGGAAGGAAAGCUUUCCAGAGACGGAGGGUUCAACAUUUCCGUGGUUUCGAGGUAUUCUAAAGGUGGCGGGUACACCCACUUUAGGAGGGGUAGGGGAGCAGAGUCUCAAACUCUGUCAGAAACAAACUUAUUUCACAUUUCGCUCAAUUAGAGCUGGGAGUUUUCAGUCGCCAUUGUCAGAAGAUUUCCAGGCAGAUGCAGCAGAGCGCUAAAGCUGGUUCGUCAUCGAAUUUAGGUUGUCAAAACAUAUAUUUGAGUUUGAGUUGAAAAUCUCAAGAUAUUUUUGGAAAAAUGAAAAUAUAUGACAAACUCUGCCUUGUUCCAAAUACAAGCAUUUUAGGUUUUAUACCCCAAUCUAGAUUUCCUCCUGAGGAAUAAAGUACUGCUCAGAGCAGAGAACUCUGGCACACGCAGUCUAUCCUGGCCUCGCCACGCUGUAACUCAAACUUGUCCCUCUGAAAUUCCCCCAAAUUCAGAGUCAGACACCAGAUACCCAUUCCCUCAGAGCUUUGGCCGAGCUUCUCUCAAGAUAUUUUGAUGUUUCCAGUCCUAGAUGAAACCACACGAUUCCCAAAUGUGUGAAAAUUAGCAAACAAAUACUUAGGGUUAAAA